rnacentral:misc_RNA from 1 species
GUUACUUGAGAAGAUCAAUAGACCACCAUUGAAAGCAGCAUGUAAAGCGGUUAUCUCAAACAGGGAUGCAGAGAGACAACCAUCAUAGUUAGCGUGUACCAAACUAUAUGGGAUUGUUAACUAAUACUGCAGAUGCAAUAAUUGCUGCUAAUUUCCUCCUGACAAAAAGUAUUCUGCACCCAAACCUUUAUGCUUUGUUGGCAUUGCCUGUGUGAGGACUCGUUUACCUUUUAAUUGAACAUUAAAUGAAGCAGGUAACCAUGGGUGAUCUAUAUACGGGGAACAUGUUCAACAUAUGAUUGUUAUGAUUUUAGUGUUGCCAGAUAUUGGUGUGCAAGGUACUGAAGGAAAAGCUUUCAUUAGACAGAAAAGAAGGUAAUCACUGGUUAUUACCGAUAGAAGCAGGCAGUUUGAUAUUCGG